rnacentral:rRNA from 1 species
AUAAUCAUUUGCCCCUUAAUUAGGGGCUAGCAUGAAUGGACAAACGAGAUUAUACCUGUCUCCUUUAUACCUAUAAAAAUUAAUCUACAGGUGAAGAAGCCUGUAUUCCUAUAAAAGACAAGAAGACCCUGUCGAGCUUUAAUUAUUUAUAAUAUAACGCAAUAUCUAUGCCCCCUCUUAUAAAUAAUCUUUGUUGGGGCGACAAUGGAGUAUAAAAACCCUCCACUACAAUCUAGACAACAAGUCACCCAAAAAAUCCCCAAAAGGAACCUGGAACUAGCUACCGCAGGGAUAACAGACUAAUCUUCCUCAAGAGCCCAAAUCUACAGGAAGGCUUGG